GAAUCUGGCGGUCCUUGUGGCCGUCCGAGUUGUAAUCUAGAGAAGCGUCUUCCGCGUUGGACCGUGUACAAGUCUCCUGGAAGGGAGCGUCAUAGAGGGUGAGAAUCCCGUCUUUGACACGGACUGCCAGUGCUAUGUGAUGCGCUCUCGACGAGUCGAGUUGUUUGUGAAUGCAGCUCAAAAUGGGUGGUAAAUUCCAUCUAAAGCUAAAUACAGGCGAGAGACCGAUAGCGAACAAGUACCGUGAGGGAAAGACGAAAAGAACUUUGGAAAGAGAGUUAAACAGUACGUGAAAUUGCUGAAAGGGAAACGCUUGAUGUCAGUCGCGUUCGCCAGGGAUCAACCUAGCUUGAUUGCUUGGUGCAUUUCUUGGUCGAACGGGUCAGCAUCAGUUUCGAUCGAGGUAUAAUGGCGGAGGGAAUGUGGCACCUCUAGGGGUGUGUUAUAGACUUUCGUCGUAUGCUUGGGUGGGGACUGAGGAACUCGACACAGACUUUCAAGUCUUGUGUCUAGGAUGCUGGCAUAAUGGCCUUAAGCGACCCGUCUUGAAACACGGACCAAGGAGUCUAACAUGCCUGCGAGUGUUUGAGUGAUGAAACUCAUGCGCGCAACGAAAGUGAAAGUCGAGAUCUCUGUCAUGGAGAGCAUCGACGCCCGGACUGGAGUCUAUUGACGAAAGAUCUGCGGUAGAGCAUGCAUGUUGGGACCCGAAAGAUGGUGAACUAUGCCUGAAUAGGGUGAAGCCAGAGGAAACUCUGGUGGAGGCUCGUAGCGAUUCUGACGUGCAAAUCGAUCGUCGAAUUUGGG
rnacentral:rRNA from 1 species